rnacentral:misc_RNA from 1 species
AAAAUUGGUUGGACAGGAUUUUGUGUAGAAGAAAAAUGACGAAUGUGUCCAAUUACGAAUAAAGAAUGUAUUGUACUAGGCUAAUUUGUAAUGACAAUAGUUAUGAGAGGAAUGUGAAAAAGAAGUAUAAAAGGUGUUCCCUGUGUAAAGAUUCUGAUUCCAAUCUAACAGUUGAAACAUGAAUUUUGCAUUUAGAAUAAUUUAUCUUUUUGGGUUUAGUAGGAUCAAAAAGUAUGUUCAAGGUUGAUGGAUUUUGAAUAAACUAGGAUUAAUUCACGGAACUUUCGGGUUUUGU